GGGGAUUUAGCUCAGUGGUUAGAGCGCUUGCCUAGGAAGCGCAAGGCCCUGGGUUCGGUCCCCAGCUCCG
rfam:Rattus norvegicus chromosome X, whole genome shotgun sequence.